rnacentral:rRNA from 1 species
AUACGGAGGGUGCAAGCGUUACUCGGAAUCACUGGGCGUAAAGCGCGCGCAGGCGGCUAUUUAAGUUGGAUGUGAAAGCCUAUGGCUCAACCAUAGAACUGCAUCCAAAACUAUUUAGCUAGAGUGUGGGAGAGGAAGAUGGAAUUAGUCGUGUAGGGGUAAAAUCCGUAGAGAUAACUAGGAAUACCAAAAGCGAAGGCAAUCUUCUGGAACACUACUGACGCUGAGGCGCGAAAGCGUGGGGAGCAAACAGGAUUAGAAACCCUAGUAGUCC